rnacentral:tRNA from 1 species
AUGCGGGUAGCUCAACUGGAAGAGCGCUGGUCUCCAAAACCAGUCGUUGGGGGUUCGACUCCCUCCCCGCGUG